rnacentral:ncRNA from 1 species
GCCGUUCAACAGGGGUGCCCCAUGCAAACGGGCUGAGAUCAUACCCAAAUUACCUGAUCCGGAUAAUGCCGGCGGAGGGAAAAAAAGUGCUCACAUU